UAGCGAAGGGGGGCUAGCGUUGCUCGGAAUCACUGGGCGUAAAGCGCACGUAGGCGGCUUUUUAAGUCAGAGGUGAAAGUCCUGGAGCUCAACUCCAGAACUGCCUUUGAUACUGGAGAGCUUGAGUCCGGGAGAGGUGAGUGGAACUGCGAGUGUAGAGGUGAAAUUCGUAGAUAUUCGCAAGAACACCAGUGGCGAAGGCGGCUCGACUGGCC
rnacentral:rRNA from 1 species